GCUGCCUUGGCCAAGCUCUGCCAGCUGAGUGACCUUGGACAAGAGACAUGAGCUUUCUUAGCCUUGGCUUCCUUAUCUGUAAAGUAGGGGUGAUGCUAGUACCAUCUUCACAGGCCAUCUGGCCUGAGAGGGAGAACCUGGCACACCACGCAUAUCCAAUUAAGCAGAAGAAGGUGCCUGACUGCAUGAGUGUCAUCCCAUUGAAUCUUCUGGGAGGUCCUACAAGCUGGGAGCCUCGGGAAGAAGAGUGGUGGGGCCUCCUGGGAGCUGGGCAUGGGGCUCCCCAUCAGUUCCAGCUCUGACCUCUCUGGGCUGUUCAGGCAAAGGCAGCAGUUGCUAAUGAAGACACUGGAGGACAGCGUGGCUUAGUCAGCACAGGAAGGAAAUGACUUAGUGCAGCCGGGUGCUGGCAGGCGACCACAGCAGGGGCAGGCAGCCCAUAAGACCAGCACAGCCAGGAGGCCACACUCCCCCGCCCCACCCUGGGCUUGCCUUCUUUGCCCCUCUCCCUUCACCACCCUCCACAGCCAAUUUGCUUGUCAUCACCCACCUUUUUGUGUUUAACCCGUCAGCUCUUCCUACCUCAUUCACUAUUUUUUUUUGUUUGUUUUAAUUAAGGUCGAAUGCAUGUCACACAAAGUUAACCAUUUUAAGGUGAACAGUUUCAGGGGCAUUGACAAUGUCGUGCAGCCACCACCUCUGUCUCAUUCCAAAACAUUUUCAUCGCUGCAAAGUAAAACCUGGACCCACUGAGCAGUUCCUCCUCACUCCCCCAUCCCUACCCCUACCAAUCUACUUUCUGUGUCUAUGGAUUCACUGAUUCUAGAUACUUCAUAUAAACGGA
rnacentral:lncRNA from 10 species